rnacentral:rRNA from 1 species
GACGUUCAGGUGGCGGUCGACCUCCCGUCGGCCGUCGAAAUUCACACCCGUGUGCACCUUGGGAGCCCCCUGGCUCUUGCAAAAAAUGCCUGUCAAUGAAGCAUGUUCGAGUGCUCUACGGAGAGCCGUAUACAUAUACAACUUUCAACAACGGAUCUCUUGGCUUUCGCAUCGAUGAAGAACGCAGCGAAAGUGCGAAACGUAAUGUGAAUUGCAGAAUUCAGUGAAUCAUCGAAUCUUUGAACGCAUCUUGCGCUCUUCGGUAUUCCGAGGAGCAUGCCUGUUUGAGUGUCGUGACAAUCCCUCGACUCUCCCCUCGCCCGUUCCCUCUUCUGGGGGGCUCGCGUUCGGAGGGUCGGAUUUUGGACGUUGCCGUCCUUUGUGAAGGCUCGUCUCGAAAUGCAUUAGCCUCGUUCCGGCCUCGGUUUCCUUCCACAGACGAUAUGGCGUGAUAAUGAAAAAACUCGCUGGCGUCGGUCGGGCCUUGGAUAGAGGGGGGCUCACAGUCGUCUCCGGACAAAUUCCAUCGAUCUGACCUCAAAUCAGGUAGGACUACCCGCUGAACUUAAGCAUAUCAAUAAGCGGAGGAAAGGAAACUAACAAGGAUUCCCCUAGUAACGGCGAGUGAAGCGGGAAGAGCUCAAAUUUGUAAUCUGGCGGUCUCU